rnacentral:lncRNA from 1 species
GGGAUCGGCCUCCAGGCUCCAUGUUGGCCCGGAAGUCUUUGGGGAUAAAAGGAGGUCUAAGGCCCCCCAGUGUGGUUUUCUGGAGGCAGCCUUAGUCUCAGUUACAAUCAAUAAUUACUCCAAAAUGCAGCCAGCUGGUAAAAAUGCAAACGUUUAUUUCUCCCUCCAAAUUAGCCCGGUUAGUUGAGGCCUAACUCUCUGCCUGGCUCCAAGAGCCCUUGCAGCUUUGUCCUUGGCUUCUGCCUCUGCUUUCUUCAGCCUCCAGCCAGCACCAAGGUAGAAGAUGCAAUGGAUCUCUCUUGCCUCAAAGAUAGGGCUUGUAGGCUUUCUUCCAGAGUGUUCCGCUCUGACCCCAGUCAACAUUCCCCCCAAACCCCCUUGAGUCGCUCACUGGAGCUGUAUUUAUGCUACUUCUCUGAGAGUGGGAUUGUGGGAUAUCUCCCAGCAUGCUCUCUGAAAUCUCCCAAGCAUGUGAACUCCAUUGAGUUCUUAGAUACUUAUGAGCUCUCCAAAGGUGUGAACACAAGCAUUGUUUCCAUCAGUUGUACUUAGUACCUAGUUCAAGUUCUGGCCCAAAAUAACUCUUUCUAAGAUCAAAUCAACUCCAAUGGCUUAACACUUUGUAAAGAUUCCAACACUCCAGAAAAACACUGGUAAAGCCAUGUGGAGGCAGGGCACCGGGGAGGCUGUGAGUGCCCACGGGCUUGCCCAGGGAGCUGGGCUCUGUCCGGGGUAGCCAUGUGCCCAAGGCUGCGCCAGCAUCUGCUUAGGUUCACCUCCCAGGGCAUGGGCACGGGGGGGGGGGAGCGGGGUGCACCCCCAACACUUGACUCCGGGUGGGGGCUCCGCCCACUGGCACGAGCCCCUUCUAAAGUAGUCGGGCCCCGGGGCGCUGAGGGUUGGGCCCCCACGUGUGACUUCACUACUUCUCUCAACAAGGGCCCCUGGUUCCAGGGCUGACCUUGAUGGCUGGAGGCAGUCCUCCCCAAGCCCUCCGAGACAGUCACAAGAAAUCCCCAGAGAAGUCAGCCUCCGGCCCUGGCUGAGGGUUUCACUCACUGCCCCAAAGCCCGGCCCUGACAGGGGCCCUUCUGCCGCCUCCCCCACGGCCCCUUCAAUAUGGCCUCAGACAGGGACCAGCUGUGAGACCCUGCACGGGCCCUGACUUGUUUGCCUCAGUUUCCUCAGCUGUAAAGUGGAGAUCCUGACCACGCCAUGUCCCAGGGUUGUGAGGCUCCAGGGAGAUCAUGUUUGUAAAGUCCCGUUACAGCCGCCCUUUAAGCCCACUAUUAUCAUUAUACCCAGACCCCUCUGGGGCUGCCCCCAUCCAGCCGCCCUGCAGCCCAGCCUCCCCCCCACCCCGCCCUGUGUCCCCGUGUCCGGGACUGGCUUUUCACUGACCUCGCGGAGCCCGGUCCGCACUGACCACAGGAUGGGGCCACGCAGGGGCUUUUGGCCCUCAGGCCUCCUCCACAUUCAGGACUGAGCCUUUGGGAGCCCAAGAUUUAGGAGGCUUCAGACAAAGGCCUCCUCCCGGUGGGAGUCUCUGGGGAAUGGCCCAUUGUCCCUGCUGGGGCAGGUGUUCUGGGAGGCUCUAGGAGCACUUGGAGCCUCUGGGAGCACUCGGAGCCUCUGGGAGCAACCCUAACCCCCUAGGAGCACUCCCAGCCUCUGGGAGCACCCCUGAGCCUCUGGGAGCACCCCCAGCCUCUGGGAGCACCCUGCCACUUUACAAAACAGCCAACACAUAUUGGCCUAAAUUAAGCCAUCCAUUGCCUGGUUAUAAACAGAUCUCUUUGUAGGGAAGCUCAACCCUUGCGGGAAAGCAGGGGGGGGGAGGGGGGAUGGCCCCCACAUCCCCAGGCUGACAUCCUUCGGCUGCUUCUGGAGAGCCCCCCCCCCCCCACCGGGCACUUCCACCCCUCUGCUCCGAGGCCCUUCUGGCCCUUCUCUGGGCUCUCUCCCCAAAGCUCCCUUUCCCAACAGUCAGUGACUUGUCAGGGGGAGGGGGACAGGAAGGUUCCCCACCCCCACCCCCACUUCCCUCGGAGCAGGGACUCAGAGCAGCGGCAGGGGCAGGGUGACCAUGGAGCCCCUGGGGUGUCCCGGGGGCCUUCCCUGGGCUUCCUCAGAAGCACAGGGCAGGAGGAGGUCCCCGCCCCUCCCUCCCUGAAGGAGAGGGGACCCCAGGUCCCCAGAGUCCCGGCUGCCGGUCCCGGGGGGGGGCUGCCGGCUCCCCUUCCCCACUUCCCAGGUAGCUCCUCUCUCGCCCCCCUCACACGCCCCUUGAUUUUUAAGAAGAAAACGCCACGUCCCCCAAAAGUUCCUAGAGAACCGUCAGACGCGAUGCUGCGGAGGAGGCUCAGGAGGGACCUGGAGGCUCGGGAGGCGGCGCCGGCGCCAGGUGGGGCCGGGGCGCGAGGCUGAGGGGCGUAGCGGGCUCCUCGGCCCCAGAGUCGGUCAGCGAGGCCGGGGCCGGCGCGGGGGGAGCGGCUCCUUCAGCUCCCAGCCUCCCCCAGGCGCCCCGUUACUUAGUGGCUUCAUAAGGGACUGGCAGCCCUAAGCCGGGGCUGGGGGCGGGCGCCCUGCCAGGGGCUCUGGGAGGCGAGAAGCCUCUGGGGGCCCGGCCCGGCCGGACAAGGGCUCGGGAAAGGGGAAGGCCGGGCUUCUGGAGGGGAGCGGGAAGGCCUUUUAGGGGAGGCCCAGAUUCCAGGUUAGGAGCUGCUGGGAGGAGGAGAAGGAGCCUGGCCAGGCCCGGGCAGCAGGGAGCUCCGUGCGGCCGGUGGCGAUCCUCCUGGAUCCCGCCGGAUCCCACCGGGUCCCGCCAGAUCCCACCGGGUCCCGCCAGAUCCCACAGGGUCCAGUUGGGCUCGGGCUGAGUGUCUGCGGUUGUCUCAGAGAUAGCCAUCCGAGGGUGGAGAGAACCUCCUCAGGAAGCCCACCCCUCAGGGCCAGUCUCACCUCCUUAAAAGGGCAAUGCUCACUGGGGCCAGUCUCACCACAUGGAAGGGGUUAAGCCCUCUGGAGCCAGUCUCACUUCCUUAAAGGGGCCACGCCCUCUGGGGCCAGUGUCACCUCCUGGAAGGGGCCACGCCCUCUGGGGCCAGUCUGAUCUCCAUAAAGGGGCCACACCCUCUGGGGCCAGUGUCACCUCCUGGAAGGGGCGCCACGCCCUCUCAGACCGGUCUCACCUCCUUUAAAGGGCAAGGUCCUCUGAGGCCAGUCUGACCUCCUGUAGGGGGCCACGCCCUCUUGGGUCAGUCCCACCCAAUAGAUGGGGCCACGCCCUCUGGAGCUAGUCUCUACUCCUUAAAAAGGCAAUGCCCUCUGGGGCUAGUCUCCCCUUCUGGAAAGUGCCACCCUCUCUGGCGUCAAUCGCACCUUGGAAUGGGCCACGUGGGGCUGGUCUCAUUUCCUCCUGUAUGGGGCCACGCCCUGUGGGAUAGUGUCAUCUCCUCUCCGGGGGUCACACCCUGUAUCAAAAUGAGCCGGUGGAGAAAAGAUGCUGAGGGCUGCGGAAUGGCCUUUCCAUCCCUCUUCUGACUGCAGGCAGGGAAUUCAGAGCAGAAAUCAGGGAAGGCUGGCUUUUGGGCUCCCUUUUUAGGGGGUGCUCAUAGGUUGGGGUGAGGGGAUGGUCAAACAGCCUUCCACUUGGGUAGGUGGCACCGUGGCAACGGAUGAUGGCGCUUUGCAGAUGGGGAUUCCCAUUUUGAUUCCCAGGAGAGCGAUCCUGGGAUGGACAGAGACCACAACAAAUGGUGAAGGGGCAGAGUCCCAAGGUCUCGGUGUAAAUGAUGGAGCUUCUUCAGAGUGGGCCAGCUCUGCACCAUCGGCUCCUUUUGCCGGGUCACUCGGGCAAUCAGUAUUUAUUAAGCACCUACUGUGUGUGACAGGUCUCUGAUAAGUGCAAUUACUUUCCAAGGGGUAGAAAGAACUGACAGGAAAGAUUGAUGGCCGCGUUGCUGCCAAUGAUUGGUGACGAGAGAGUCGCCAUGAGGUUGGAGAAGGACGGGUCACUCCGAUGGUCAGAAAGGAUCUGUAGGCCAGAAAGCUGGGCUCCCCCUCCUGCUGAUCAUGCUCUUGUAGGGUUGGCGGGGACAGCAAAGGGAAGCUCUUUUUAUUUGCCACCAUUUGCACAGCUCACACUAGGUGAACAAAAUAUCAUUAGACAAGAAGAUGAUAGGACAUUCAGGUGGAGCUAAAAAUUAAUUUCUCCUGGGGUCAUGUAGGGGGAAGAGAGAGAGAGAGAGAGAGAGAGAGAGAGAGAGAGAGAGAGAGAGAGAGAGAAAGAAAAAGAGAGAGAGACAGAGACAAAGAGAGACACAGAGACACAAAAAGGAAGAGAGAGGAGAGGGACAGAGAAUGUGAAGAUGGAGGAGAAAAACAGUAUUAAAAGAAGAGAAAAGGAGAAAAAAAGAGGGAGACAAGGAAGGGCAGAAGGAGAGAUAGAGGAGAGAAAGAAAGAGAGGAGGGAGAGAAUGAAAGAAGUGAAGGAAGGGAAUAGAGAGCCAGGGAGGGGGAGAGAGACAGAAAGGAGAAGGAAGAGGAGAAAUGGAGACAGAACUACAGCCUCACUUUACUCCUUCUCAGUUCCCCCGCAAGCCCAUCUUCUGACAGAGUUCCUCUCCAAGCCAGAGAACGCAACAAAACCACUGUUGCUGCCCCUUACCCCCUCCUACCUCCAGCCUUCCAUGUUUGUGGCUGUCUGCUUCUUGAGAAAGGCUCUCCCCAUCACCCUCGCAGGGGACUUGGCUCAUCCUCCGAGCCAGAUGGCUCUCUCUGGCCAAGAGAAUCCCUGGCCCUGGCCCAGCCUCCAAGGUCUUUCUGCUUUUCCUUCGAGGCCCAGGGGGCGGGCCUGGAGGCACUCUCUGCAUGAUGGGCACAGGGGGCAGGGGCCCUUCCUUGCCUCAGUUGUGGGCCUGGAAUCCUGGGCUGCUCUCAAUGGCUGUCGGUGCUUGUGAGCACCCGCUCCUGGAACCCCAACUGGGUGCGUGCCCCUGUCUUAGGGGCUGUGUUCAGGGGGAGACUCCCACCUUUGGCCCAAGCCCGGCAGCCCCCUCCGGUGCAGCUCCGAGAAAGCGCCAUCUUGGAAGCACGUUUGAGCUUGGUCUGGACUAAGCACCCGCCGGGCCGGGCAAAGAGCCAGAGGCGGCGAGAGGCCGCAGACUCAGGCCUUGGGAGGUCAGCCUCCUCCUGGACGGCCUUGGGCGGGCUCCCGGCUCGGGGCCCAGGAGACCUCACGCCUCUGCCCGCCGCUCAGAGGGGCAAGGCCUAGGGUUACAGAACAUGGCACCGGGCCGUUAAUGCCCAGGCAGGGGCGGGCGGCCGCGGGCGACCCCCAGUGCCAGGGAGACACUGAGCGCCCCGGGGCUCACCGGGCUCCGGCACAUCUGCAGCGUCGCUCAGCGCUCCGGCCCUACAGGGUGAGAGCGUCUCUGCGCAAAGGGCUCCUUGUAAACCCGUUCUGCCUCUGCCUUUGGCGCAGCAGCAGGGGUGGGGACUCUCCCAUUGCCCCCAGGCUUCUCUAUCUCCCUCCGCAGACGAGCCGGGUCCUGCCCCGUGUCCCGGGGCCCGCCGGGAGCCCCAAGCGCCCCAGCCCGGACUCCCAGCUGCCCGCGGCCGGCGGGGCCCCCUCCCUCCCCUCGCCUUAACUUCCCUAAGCUUCUGCUUUCUGGGGGUCCCGGGAUGCCCAGAUUUCACCUCGGGCUACGCCCCUCAAUCCUCCCCCAAAGACUCGCUACUAACAAGCUCUAACCUGGGCGGCCCCACCCCGCCCGGCCCGGCCCGGCCCGGCCCGGUUAACUGGUUCCGGCCACUUUUUGUCCAGGGAAUUUUUUCCUUACGCCCAGUCGCCCCCCCCCCCCGAAACCGAAGUAAAAGGGCCCCCCAGGGAGGGAGAGGGGGCCUGCGGAGGGUCGUGCUUCUGGGGCGGGGCCCCACCGCUGCCUCCCGGAGCCGGAGCAUCAGGGAACCUGGCCAGGCCCAGAGCCUGGCGCCUCCCCGCAGGGGCCCAGCUUCCCGGCCCUCCCGGGCCCUCCGGCGCUCCCUGCCCAGCGUCUCCCGGGCUGCGCCGCCCCCUCCGGCCCCACGCGGGCCCCGGCUCCAGACCUUCCUCACGCCUCCGCGCAGGGCUGGGGGAAGUGGGGGCGGCGGAGGGGAGGGCGGCCAGCAGCCUCGGCCCCACCUGGCUCCCUCCCCCAGCCUGGCUCCCUCCCCCACCCCUGGCUCCCUGCCCCCACCCCUGGCUCCCUGCCCCCAGCCUGGCUCCCUCCCCUGCCGCGGUUUCCGUUUCGGAGGGAGCGAAAGUGAAAGAGGAGCGGCUCCGGGGCGGGGCGGGAGGGAGUGGGACCGGCCGGGCCGCGGGCAGUGCGGCAGACCCAGGGACCCACGGACGGGGCGGCCCAGGAGCGUCCUCCCGCGGCCCCGCGGACUGUUAGACGGCCGCCGGCCUGCGGGGCCAUGGGAGUCCCGGGCCUGGGCGCCCUGAUGCUCUGCUGGGCCGCGGCCACCUGCGCCGGUGAGCGCCGCUGCGGGGGGUGGUGGGGAGGGGCCGGGAGGUGUGUGCGCGCGAGUGUGUGAGUGUGA